CGUCAAGGACCCUCCGUUAGUUGUGUGUGUCACUCGCGGCCCGUGGGCGGUGAUGCGCCUGGGAGUGGUGACAUUGGCAGAAAUUUACGCGUGGCGCACCUCGGCCUCGGCCUCUGCGUGUUGCAUCAAACGAGUGUGGCCAAGGAGACAAUGUGGACGUGUGCUUGUUGCAACAAUGUCGCGCCGCUGAGGCCAAACACUGCGGACAAUGCGCGCCAAAACACAAGAAAGAGGCCACUUAAUUCAUGCGCUAAAUGAGAACUACGAGACUGAGAGUGAGUAAGAUGCGUCCUGAAAGGCACCACUUCAACAUCGGCGAGGAUGGGCGGCUGGCUGGCUUCACCUGGCCCGACUACGUCAUGUUCGUGGGCAUGCUGCUCUUUUCGCUGCUCAUCGGGGUCUUCUACGCCUACAAGAACAGGAGUAAAGCCAACGAGGAGUACCUGUUAGGGGGGCGAAGCAUGACCUGUUUCCCAGUGUCCAUGUCCCUCGUGGCCUCCUACAUCUCGGCCAUCCUUGUCUUAGGCGGGCCGGCGGAGACCUACUACCACAACAUCGGCUGGAUCGUGGGCAUGGGCGGCCUGUCAGCCAUCCCCGUGGUGACCGUGGUGUUCAUGCCCUUCCUCUACAAUCUACGCAUCACCUCGGUCUAUGAGUACCUUGAGAUGCGCUACGACUCCCGGGCGGUGCGUCGGAUGGCCAGCCUCAUGUUCGUGUUGCAGACGCUGCUCUACGAGGCUGUUGCCAUCUACGCCCCCGCUCUUGCCCUCGCCGCCGUCACCAACAUGCCCGUCUCGGUCUCUAUCCUCACCGUGGCCGCCAUCGGUUCAGUCUACACCGCCAUUGGCGGGAUGAAGGCGGUGGUGUGGACGGACGUGAUGCAGUUGGCGGUGAUCCUCGGGGGCCUGAUGGCCAUCCUGGUGAAGGGCUGCAUGGACCUGGGCGGGUUCACUAACAUCUGGAACACGGCCCUGGCGCACAACAGGACGGGGCCCAACAUUAUAAGGCUGGAUUUUGACCUGUACGAGCGACAUACGGUGGCCAACAUCCUCCUCGGCGCCUUCCUGGGCAGUCUGUGCAGCUUCGCGUGCUCCCAGACGGCCGUGCAGCGCUACUCCAGCAUGAAAACCCUUAACCAUGCUCGCGUAUCACUUCUCCUCACCAUUCCCUUCUACAUGAGCCUCUACUUCCUCGCAGCAUUCGUAGGCCUCGUGCUCUUCGCCACCUACGAGGGCUGUGACCCCCUAGAGGCGGGGCUCAUCACCAAGAAGGACCAGAUCCUGCCCUUCUUCGUCAUGGACAAGCUCAGCUCCGCGCCUGGUCUGCCCGGUCUUUUCGUGGCCUGCAUUUUCUCCGGCGCCCUCAGUACCAUAUCCUCCGCCGUGAGCUCUCAGGCGGCCGUCACGUGGGAAGACUGGCUGGCGCCCCUCCCCUGCUGCGCCGCCCUCUCGCCCACCGCCCAGGCCGCCGUCACCAAGCUUUUAGCUGGGGCUUACGGGACCGUGGCUGUGGGUCUCGCGUUCAUGGCGGGUAAUCUGGGAGGACUGCUGCAAACGGCCCAUGCCUUCGUGGGCUCCGUGAGUGGCCCGCUGCUGUCCGUGUUCGUGCUGGCCUUUUUCAUGCCUUUCAGCAACGCCUUUGGGGCGUGCGUGGGGCUUCUAUUGGGCACAGCGGCGCCCCUCACCAUCAGCUUCGGAGCGUCAAAUCUCGGACUGCAGCCUAAGCUGCUGCCCACCACCACGGACAUGUGCCCCCUAGACCUGGUCUUGCCCGAGCCCUCCAACGUGCCGCUCCGCAGUCACGAUGACCUGGAGUACCCACAGAAGAUCUUUGCCCUGUCGUACAAGCACACGGUGACGGUGGGCUUCCUGGUGGCCAUGGUGACGGGCAUCCUGGGCAGCGUGUUGACGGGAAUGACGAGAGGGAAGCGCGUCAAGAGGUCACUGUUGCAUCCUUGGGUGAGGUGGACGCAGCCAGAGGAAAAGGUGACCAAGAGGGCCGAGGCGCACUCUUACGUCAACCCGAGCGUCUCCACCCACCUCUGACGACAUCCGCGGGAGUUAUGACGAUCAUCGCUCAGGAGGCAGAGGGCGAGAUAGACCAAACAGAAAUAAGAGAUAUUAAAAGAAAAAUCUCAGAAGAAAGGCAACAGGCCCAAAAAGACGAGCUGGACCGUCUUACACACCACCUGUCCACAGAAAUGGGUAGAAAAAUACACACAGCACAGGAGACAGGCGCCUCUAACUGGCUAACGUCAUUACCAAUCAGAGCAAAGGGCUUCAGCCUCAACAAACAAGAAUUUGUCGACGCCAUUGCUCUGAGAUAUGGCUGGCCGAUUGAGGGACUGCCUGAUCUCUGUGCAUGUGGAUCACCAAAUGAUGUCACCCACACCAUGACAUGUAAAAAAGGAGGCUUCGUCUGUAUUCGACACGAUGAAGUGAGGGAUCUGACAGCCAGCAUGCUUGGGGAGGUAUGCCAAGACGUCACUACCGAGCCGGCACUGCUUCCCCUGGACGGCGAACACCUUCGGUACAGGACAGCCAAUACCUCGCAGGAGGCACGGGUUGAUGUAAGUGCCCGCGGAUUCUGGGUGCGCGGACAGCGGGCGUUCAUGGACAUCCGCAUAUUCGACCCGAUGGCUGCCUGUCACCGUGAGCUGCCCCUGCAAGCCGCCCACCACAGGAACGAGCAGGAGAAGACAAGGGCAUACGGUGAAAGAAUCCAACAUGUGGACCAAGGCAGCUUCACCCCCCUCGUCUUCACCACAUCCGGCGGGAUGGGUCCCAGGGCCCAAUGCUUCUACACACGCCUCGCGGAACUAAUCUCAGAAAAGAAGCAACAGCCAAGGAGCCACGUUGUCGCCUGGAUGAGGUGUCGCCUCUCGUUCUCCCUGCUCAGGUCGGCCAUCCUAUGUCUCAGGGGCACCAGACACUCUGGCCCAAAAGCCACCACCAUCUCCAAUAUGGACUAUGAAGCCACAGUGGUGGAGAGUGACAUUAGGGUGGGUCGGGAGUGACUUGAGUAGGGAAGGAAAGGGGGAUCUAGACGUAAUAGAUGAUAGGUGAUUUAGUGUCAGGUAGUAUUAGUGAUAUGGUUGGAUGCCACAGUCAUUAGCGAACAGAGUUGGGGCUAAUGACCUCCAAGCUAUGGAGCCCUCCAUGAUUAUGUGUCGGGAAAAUAAACAUGGGUGGAGGUAUCAUUUAUGUUAUAGUAGUAGUAGAAGAAGUAGUAGUAGUAGUAGUAGUGGCAGUAGUAGAAGUAGUAGAAGUAGUAGUUGUAGUAGUAGUAGUAGUAGUAGUAGUAGCAGCAGUAGCAACAGGAAUAUCGGUAGUGGUAGUGCGAAAUAUUUUUGCUGUAGCAGUACAAGUGCUAUCAAUGUCCAUCUUACUAUUAUUUGUCAUCAUUAUCAUUAUUAUCAUCUGCAUCAUGCCCGUCAGCAGUCUAUGAGCCCCACAAAAAUACUGCAUGUUGUCCCGCGGGCAGCGGGGAGGCGGUGAAGCGAAAUAAACUUCCUGAAAUGAUACAUAACGCUCGUACAGGUUGUUUGUGACGAGAUACCGCGGAGGGCAGCGACCGGAGAGGGGGGGAGGAGAGAGAGAGAGAGAGAGAGAGAGAGUAAAGCACACACACACACACACACACACACACACACACACACACACACACACACACACACACACACACAC